rnacentral:rRNA from 1 species
UUAACGGAGAGUUUGAUCCUGGCUCAGGACGAACGCUGGCGGCGUGCCUAACACAUGCAAGUCGAGCGGGAUCCAUCCAGUAGCAAUACUGGGGAAGAUCUAGCGGCGAACGGGUGAGUAACACGUGAGAAACCUGCCCCGAACUUUGGG